AGAGUUUGAUCCUGGCUCAGAUUGAACGCUGGCGGCAGGCCUACACAUGCAAGUCGAACGGUAACAGGAUGUGCUUGCACAUCGCUGACGUGUGGCGGACGGGUGAGUAAUGCUUGGGAACUUGCCUUUGCGAGGGGGAUAACAGUUGGAAACGACUGCUAAUACCGCAUAAUGUCUUCGGACCAAACGGGGCUUAGGCUCCGGCGCAAAGAGAGGCCCAAGUGAGAUUAGCUAGUUGGUAAGGUAACGGCUUACCAAGGCGACGAUCUCUAGCUGUUCUGAGAGGAAGAUCAGCCACACUGGGACUGAGACACGGCCCAGACUCCUACGGGAGGCAGCAGUGGGGAAUAUUGCACAAUGGGGGAAACCCUGAUGCAGCCAUGCCGCGUGUGUGAAGAAGGCCUUCGGGUUGUAAAGCACUUUCAGUUGUGAGGAAAAGUUAGUAGUUAUACCUGCUAGCCGUGACGUUAACAACAGAAGAAGCACCGGCUUAACUCCGUGCCAGCAGCCGCGGUAAUACGGAGGGUGCGAGCGUUAAUCGGAAUUACUGGGCGUAAAGCGCACGCAGGCGGUUUGUUAAGCUAGAUGUGAAAGCCCCGGGCUCAACCUGGGAUGGUCAUUUAGAACUGGCAGACUAGAGUCUUGGAGAGGGGAGUGGAAUUCCAGGUGUAGCGGUGAAAUGCGUAGAUAUCUGGAGGAACAUCAGUGGCGAAGGCGACUCCCUGGCCAAAGACUGACGCUCAUGUGCGAAAGUGUGGGUAGCGAACAGGAUUAGAUACCCUGGUAGUCCACACCGUAAACGCUGUCUACUAGCUGUGUGUGCCUUUAAGGCGUGCGUAGCGAAGCUAACGCGCUAAGUAGACCGCCUGGGGAG
rnacentral:rRNA from 1 species